ensembl:lncRNA
UAAAUUCCUGAUAAUACAUAACAGUUUCUUAACAGAACAUCAGAGUAUUGCAACACUUUAUUAAGAGUAUUGGCUUUGAAUUAGUAGCUGAAGUAACAAUUGCAAGAAGCCAGAUUAGGUGUACUGCAUAAUACUCAUACUUGAUUUAUUGACAUUACUUAGCAAUUUAUUGGACAAAAGUCAAACUUUUGUUUUUUAUUAAGCACAUUCCACAGUACAAAGCUGUCAUGAAUAAUAUCUGUACAAUUUAACAGUUUCAAUAGCUGUUCAGACACAAAUUUAUUUCAAACAGAUAAUUGGCAAACAUAAUUAAUUACAAGUUAGAAUUAGACUAUCCCAGUGCUUUAAAACAUUAAGAUAGUAGUAAUUUACAGUUGCUUGAUUAUGGUUAGCAAAAUAAAGUCCAGAGUAUGGCUGGGAAUUACUACUGUAAUCCCAGAAAGUCAGAAUUCCUUGGGUGCCAAAGUCCCCUGCGAUAAUUUAGUAGGCACAAUUCAAAGGUUGUGUGCAUAUUCAAAGGCCAUGGUUUCCCAAGGAACAAGAGGAACUUCUAUAUUAAACAUGCAAAAACAAAAAAAAAUCCAUUCGUUCAGAAAAAUCGCCUCUGGCCCUCCCCCCUUUCCCCUGGGCUUUCCUAGCCAGUUUGACAUAAAAGCUGUAACAUGAAGAGCAGUCAAAGUCAAGUCACUCUCACAACCACUGUCAAGCUUACAGCAUCCACCUUAUGAAUGGAGGUUUAAUUAUUACACUUUUGAGACUCAACCUUGCAAAAACAGAAAUUAGGAAGAUGUCAGCAAGGAUACAUUUAAGAAAAAUUAAAAAGGCAAAAGAAAAACUUAAAAGCAAAGCCAAUUUAACAAACCACAUACACACACAUUGAUCCCCACACCCUUCUCAAUGCAAAGGACGGACAGAGCCCAGGGGCCUUUCCUAGGAAUAGAGUGUGCUUCUUCUGGAAGAGGGUGUGUUCACAGGAGGUGGCUUAUUGGUCCUUUAAAAUGGGAUUGACAUUCCUUGAUCUUUGGAAGCAAUGGUGAGGAGCAAAUCAAAACCUAAUACUUAAGGAGGAAAAAGGAAUGUUGACCAAAUAGCAACAUCCUUCCCAUGCAUGAUCAAAGUAACAGUGCUAUUCUAGGCUCAGGCUGCAGAGCACUUGAGAGCUUUGAGAGCCUGCAGGGGCCAGAGAACAGAUAAGAGCAGAGCUGACUGGGAUGGGACUCCUGGGCCUGGGCUUGGCCCCACUCAGGAGAGCCCUGCCCUUUACACGGCGACCCUCCAGAGCAGCCUGAUCUGAGCUACAGGCUCCAGCACAACAUUGGGCCCUGUAGUCCCUGACAGGGCCAGGCCAGGAACUCCAGAGGGGGAGGCCCUGUCUAUAGGGCCAUCUCAUUCUUCUCUUCUCAGGGUUACUACUGCACAGAAUGAUGGCUUUUGACAAAGAAGCCGAAUGAAUACUAUGGGAAGUGACCACUAGCACUCAGGAGUAUUUAUGAGGAAAAUAACAACAAAAAAUUUUAAGGUACCUCUCUAUUGCAUAUCCUACACAACAAAUAAAACAUUUCUGUAUUAAUCUUUAGAAGUUAGAUUUUAAAACAAGAUUCCCAUUAAAAACAACACACACACACACACAGUGACAGUGACAAAAUAAAAACACCAUAUGAAUACUGCAGGAAGGGUUCUAGGUCAUCCACAUCAACCCUGGUAACAGGUUCUUGAGCCCAGCCCAUGGCUAAGUGCGAACACACUCUAUAUUAGUGUCUCAGGCACAGGGGGCCUGACUCCAGCAACCUUGAGGUUAAACUGUUAUGUACAUUAUAUCUACAUGCGGAUACAGUAUUUUAAAUUAGGAGGCAAGCACAUGGAUAAAGGUGUUACUCUACCAAAUAUCAGGAAAUGGUUGGGAGCAGAGAACAGUUAAUAAAAGAGCUAUAUUACCUGUGGAGAAAUAAUAUAACUGGCUGAUAGUUCUUUAAAUUAAAAGAAACUAGUACAGAAAGAAAGUGUAAUCCAAAAAAUAUUACUAAAACAAUCCAGAGAGAUUUUCCCAUUGUCCACCAUGUAUAUUCCUAAUACAAGUCAAAAUUCAUAACGACUUGGACAGUCAAAAGGAGAAUGCUAACUUCUGAAAGGAAAGCCCUGGACAUUCUGGGUAGGUGUUUGGCACCCAAAAUUUCACUGAAGAAGAAUGUUGCUUCUGAAUAUCAGACCAAAGUGCAAAGCAUUAUAAAUUAGAGGCCAAGUCUUCUCUUGAUGGUCGAUUUACUUCUGUAAAACAGACUGUUACGUCCCUUUAUGUGAACAAUUUACGUCUGAAGCAUUAGAUUUUUUUUUUCUCGGAUGCGGGUAGGAAGUGGGCUUCUGUUCUACUGGAAGUUGGUGAGGCUAAAGUAUCCUUCUCAAAGUAGAGCCGGGACCAGAGGUGAGAAAUGUCGAGUGAGGCUGCUUUGCAUCUACCCAGCGUCUAGAACCAAUUUCAGCUUCUUAACUCAGCUGUGGACGAACUCCCUUAGGCAUUUGGUAGCCAUGUAGCCAGUAGUUCAAGACUAGGAAACCCUAGGGGGAAAGGGGAGAG